rnacentral:rRNA from 1 species
UACGUAGGUCCCGAGCGUUAUCCGGACUUAUUGGGCGUAAAGCGAGCGCAGGCGGUUGGAUAAGUCUGAAGUUAAAGGCUGUGGCUUAACCAUAGUAUGCUUUGGAAACUGCUCAACUUGAGUGCAGAAGGGGAGAGUGGAAUUCCAUGUGUAGCGGUGGAAUGCGUAGAUAUAUGGAGGAACACCGGUGGCGAAAGCGGCUCUCUGGUCUGUAACUGACGCUGAGGCUCGAAAGCGUGGGUAGCGAACAGG